rnacentral:rRNA from 1 species
GACGUUAGCGGCGGACGGGUGAGUAACACGUGGGUAACCUACCUAUAAGACUGGGACAACUUCGGGAAACCCGGAGCUAAUACCGGAUAAUAUGUUGAACCGCAUGGUUCAAUAGUGAAAGAUGGUUUUGCUAUCACUUAUAGAUGGACCCGCGCCGUAUUAGCUAGUUGGUGAGGUAACGGCUCACCAAGGCAACGAUACGUUAGCCGACUGAGAGGGUGAUCGGCCACACUGGAACUGAGACACGGUCCAGACUCCUACGGGAGGCAGCAGUAGGGAAUCUUCCGCAAUGGGCGAAAGCCUGACGGAGCAACGCCGCGUGAGUGAUGAAGGUCUUAGGAUCGUAAAACUCUGUUAUUAGGGAAGAACAAACGUGUAAGUAACUGUGCACGUCUUGACGGUACCUAAUCAGAAAGCCACGGCUAACUACGUGCCAGCAGCCGCGGUAAUACGUAGGUGGCAAGCGUUAUCCGGAAUUAUUGGGCGUAAAGCGCGCGUAGGCGGUUUUUUAAGUCUGAUGUGAAAGCCCACGGCUCAACCGUGGAGGGUCAUUGGAAACUGGAAAACUUGAGUGCAGAAGAGGAAAGUGGAAUUCCAUGUGUAGCGGUGAAAUGCGCAGAGAUAUGGAGGAACACCAGUGGCGAAGGCGACUUUCUGGUCUGUAACUGACGCUGAUGUGCGAAAGCGUGGGGAUCAAACAGGAUUAGAUACCUGGUAGUCCACGCCGUAAACGAUGAGUGCUAAGUGUUAG